rnacentral:rRNA from 1 species
UGUCCCAGUUCGGACUGGAGUCUGNAACCCGACUCCACGAAGUUGGAUUCGCUAGUAAUCGCGCAUCAGCCAUGGCGCGGUGAAUACGUUCCCGGGCCUUGUACACACCGCCCGUCAAGCCAUGGGAGCCGGGGGCGCCUGAAGUCCGGGACCGCGAGGACCGGCCUAGGGCGAAACUGGUAACUGGGGCUAAGUCGUAACAAGGUAGC